GUGUCAGCAGCCGCGCGGUAAUACGGGAGUGGCAAGCGUUAUCCGGAAUUAUUGGGCGUAAAGCGUCCGCAGGCGGUCUGUCAAGUCUGCUGUUAAAGCGUGGAGCUUAACUCCAUUUCGGCAGUGGAAACUGACAGACUAGAGUGUGGUAGGGGCAGAGGGAAUUCCCGGUGUAGCGGUGAAAUGCGUAGAUAUCGGGAAGAACACCAGUGGCGAAGGCGCUCUGCUGGGCCAUAACUGACGCUCAUGGACGAAAGCCAGGGGAGCGAAAGGGAUUAGAUACCCCUGUAGUCCUGGCCGUAAACGAUGAACACUAGGUGUCGGGGGAAUCGACCCCCUCGGUGUCGUAGCCAACGCGUUAAGUGUUCCGCCUGGGGAGUACGCACGCAAGUGUGAAACUCAAAGGAAUUGACGGGGGCCCGCACAAGCGGUGGAGUAUGUGGUUUAAUUCGAUGCAACGCGAAGAACCUUACCAGGGUUUGACAUCCUGCGAAUCUCUUGGAAACGAGAGAGUGCCUUCGGGAACGCAGUGACAGGUGGUGCAUGGCUGUCGUCAGCUCGUGUCGUGAGAUGUUGGGUUAAGUCCCGCAACGAGCGCAACCCACGUCGUUAGUUGCCAGCAUUUAGUUGGGCACUCUAGCGAGACCGCCGGUGAUAAACCGGAGGAAGGUGUGGAUGACGUCAAGUCAUCAUGCCCCUUACAUCCUGGGCUACACACGUACUACAAUGCUACGGACAAAGGGCAGCAAACUCGCGAGAGCUAGCAAAUCCCAUAAACCGUGGCUCAGUUCAGAUCGUAGGCUGCAACUCGCCUACGUGAAGGAGGAAUCGCUAGUAAUCGCAGGUCAGCAUACUGCGGUGAAUACGUUCCCGGGCCUUGCACACACCGCCCGUCA
rnacentral:rRNA from 1 species